ACUCUGGAUAGCUGGCUAAGAGGAAGGGAGAAAAUUUCAAGGGGCUGCAUCUUUCUCAUUCCUGCUAUUUGCUGCAAGCCUGUUAUGUUUCUUCCAGCAGAUGCCUGAUUCACACAAGUAGCUGCUCCCCUCACCGGUAAACAAGUGUAUGCCAUCUACAAACAGCAAGGGCGCCAGGUCUGCGAAGGGAGAGAGAAACCUCCAAACGCCCAACCCACUCCAAAUGGCUUUGAUGGUGUUUUUUUUCCACCAGGGCUGAACUCUGCAACUCUCACCCAGAUGCGCCUCGGUGUGGAAUGCAGCCGGGAACCGCUGGGGACCAGGGAGUCAGCCAUUCCUGAGAGGCACGCGGCCCACCCUGAGCAUGGGCACCGUGUCCUGAGACCUGACUCAAGAUUAACUUCAAUUACCUACACGUCUGCUAGAGCACCUCAACAAAUUAAAACUGCUGAAAGUGAUGAAGGAGAGGAAGGACCUGGGUCUCUGGAGAAACAAAUGGUCUCCUCCCUCCCCCACCAUCAUCUCUGUUCUCUUAAAUUACUCAACUAAACAAGCAACUGUUUCUCACAGGAAAACUCGAGACUCUGAGUCUGAAUGUGAAAACCCCGUGGUUAAGCCCUGGCUUGCAGAAAACUAAAAACUUCAGUGACUCUGGAAUGAGAUGUUAUGUUCAGAGCUAUACGAAGCGCUGCAGCUGUUCUCAGCCAACAUGGAAACCGAAAAGGGUGAUGCUAUCUUUAUCCUCUACCUACGGCCAAAGCUGAUCCCAUCCUGGGCAGGAGUCAGCUCAGUUCUAGGCUGCUGAGCCCAAGAGACAAGAAGGGAAAGGAAAGCAGGGGCUGGCAGGGCACACCUCAGCAACAACACACAACAGACCCACCGGGAAGAAAGAACAUGCAGUUAAUCAUUAAAAAUUUGAAAAGGAUGCAAGGAAAUGGAACCGCCUGAAAAGCUGUUUCUAAACGCCAUUUGGAAAACCUGUGUCAAUCGGGUCAAAAUUCAAAAGACUGGAUCGCAUCUGACUUGACCUGAAUUUCCCAAGUGGAAAGAGAACCCUUUUAUCCAUUUUCUUGGAAGAAAAAAAAACAUACUUCCCUAUGCAAACUCAGACAGCGUCUUCAGACCACCUCAUGGAGUCAGGCCCUAGAUGAGCAUCUCAGAGAGGGCAGAUGAUGAGGGAAAAUGAGCCCAAUCAGGAGGGAAGGUGCUGGGAACGGGGAUUCAUCCCAGCCCGGAGCUGGCACACAGGCUGACUGAAGAGCACGUUCCCCGGUGCAACGGCACCGCCUCACUCUGAGCAAACGUCUCCCCCGCCACUCCUGGCCGUGCACCCCCAGCCCCAGCCGGCCUGUCGGCAAUGCAACCACCAACGAAUGGAACUGUGGCGAGGGGCUUGGCGCGGUGUGAUCUGUCACUGACACACCACGCUUCCUGCUCAUGCCGCCGGCCCAUCUUCAUUCAAGAGACAGCAACAAAACGGCCGUGGGGUGGCCAGCAAGCAGGACGGCACAGGGGCUGGCGAAGGAGCGGACUUGGGAGCCACGCUGCCCAGGUUCAAAUCUGGCCUCUUCCCCUUGCCUGCUGUGGCGGAACCACCCUCAGCUGCAGAACCUCUAUCGGCCUUGGUUUUCUUAAGACGACAGUAACGCCUAUUUCACGUGGCGGCUGCGAGACCGAGGAGUUACCCGGGAAAGUGCUUAAACAGAGUCUGAAGACUUCCCUGGUGGUUCAGUGGUUAAAAGACUCUGUGCUCCCAAUGCAUGGGGCAUGGGUUCAAUCCCUGGUCAGGGAACUAAGAUCCUGCAUGCUGCACCGUGUGGCCAAAAAAAUAAAAGAAUACACACAGUCUUGGGGAGAAAGCAUCAAUUCCCCCAUGCGCAUCAGGACUUCAGAGCUGAUCUGCUAACUAGCAGCCCAACAGGCCCUGAAGACAUUCCGUUCACCCAGGGCCGUGCUUCUCAAACGUUAACACGCUUCCAGAAAGCUCACUGAAACAGAUCUGGGCCCCACCUCUGGUUUCUCACUGGAAGGUCUGGGGUAGGGCCUAACCAUCUGUGUUUCCAACAAGCUCCCAGGUGAUGCUGCCGCUCUGAGCCUCACACUUUGAGGACCACGGCUCUGUGGACCACUUGACUCCUUGUGUUCUAUGCUUCAGGCCUAAGCCUUGGUUUGUCUAUCUGCGCAGGGAGCCUGGAUGAGACAACCCAAGGAGAAGGGCAACGUGGCUCACUGCACGGAGAAGGCCCGAGGGUCCCUCCACACCGCCCAGCACCCUGCGCCUCCACACCCUGCAGGUGGUAGGUUCUGGCCAAGGGGCUGCGAGCAAAGACAACACACACCACUUCCAGUCUGAAGCUUUAAAGCGCCUGCUGGCCUGCCGGCUCUCUCCUUACAGUGGCGGCCUGGGGGCAUGCGCAGAGCUGGGGGGUGGGGGGUGCAGGACCCUGGGUCACUGCCUGGAAAGGAGGUACUCGAGAGAGCUGCCGGCCUGCAACAGACUUCACAUGAAAAGCAAUGCCAUCCUAUGUGCUGUGCCACUGGGGUUUUAAUAUUUGUUUGAUCGCUUUAGCUUAAGCCCACUGAAACAAUUCCUAUCACCAGUAUAAAAAGGACCUUUACGCCAGCCGUAAGUCCAUUCUAUCAAACACAGAUGUAAUGUAUCUUGUAACAAAACUGAUUAGCUAGGAUUUCUACUCUCAUUCACUUAUUCAAAUGAGUUUCUUUUUUUUUUCUCCAACAUUCCAUUUUGGGGUCUGUUUUUCACCAGAUAUAAAACUUCUUCACUGCAGCAUGAUUGUGUAACAGUUACCAACAAUUUUGAACAAUCUAAAUAUACUAAGAAGCACUGAAGAUGUGAAAAAUAAAUACAGUGAAGAACAUGAAACUGUGUGUAUGUGUGCGUGCGCGCACACACACACACACACACACACACACACACACCAACCAGAAUCCCUGGACUCUAAAAGGCAGGUCAGAAGAAAAGGGUUUUAAUUUUACUUAUUAAAUCAUGAGCAAACUGAUAUCAUAUUUUGCCCAAACAGGAAAAGGUAAUCUCUUUAAGGUAAAAGCAUCACCACUGAACCACAAAACUGCUCCUUAAAAUAAUAAUAAUAAUUUCUAGUUAACCUAGAAAAAUUUGCCCAUCCAGGUUGAGCCGUCCACAGUAUACCACCUUCCAUUUUAUGUGGAAAAAACAAUAAAUCCCCACCUCCAAGAACCACACAGCCAAAACAAAAUGUAAUCUACAACAACCCAUCAACUAAAACUAGAAAAUUUAUGAAAUACACAAAAUUGAAAGAACUGGGGAAAGAGAAUUUUUAAAUACGCGCUAGAACCACAUACAGGUCCUUCUGGUCUGUGAAGCAAACAGCACUUCUCUGGAGGGCUCUCUGCGGAGGACUUAGCUAAGUGGGAUCUAUGACGCACCUCAGAGGUGGGGGGCUUUCUUGCUGGAAUUCUCCCUAGCAGGAGGAAAAGCCCCUUGAACACACAGAAACAUUUUAAAACUCAGCUCCUCGGGGGCUGGGGGGUGCUCUGCUUCCCCGUGAGCACCGGCAGAGCUGAGCUGAGGAUGAAGAGCCCUGCUGCCCUGGCCUUCUCAAGUUCCUAGGCCCUUGAGCGCCUCAUGCUCUGGGUGUGUCACGUUCCACCUCUUGAGGUACUUCCACGUGGCCAAAAAGGAAAAAAAAAAAGGUAAACACUCGUACAAUGCAUUUGCUCACCUAUUAUAACUCAGC
ensembl:lncRNA